rnacentral:rRNA from 1 species
GACGAACGCUGGCGGCGUGCUUAACACAUGCAAGUCGAACGGAAAGGCCCUGCUUUUGUGGGGUGCUCGAGUGGCGAACGGGUGAGUAACACGUGAGUAACCUGCACUUGACUUUGGGAUAACUUCAGGAAACUGGGGCUAAUACCGGAUAGGAGCUACUGCUGCAUGGUGGGGGUUGGAAAGUUUAGGCGGUUGGGGAUGGACUCGCGGCUUAUCAGCUUGUUGGUGGGGUAGUGGCUUACCAAGGCUUUGACGGGUAGCCGGCCUGAGAGGGUGACCGGCCACAUUGGGACUGAGCUACGGCACAGACUCCUACGGGAGGCAGCGGUGGGGAAUAUUACACAGUGGGCGGAAGCCUGAUGCAGCACCGCCGCGUGCGGGAUGACGUCCUUCGGGUUGUAAACCGCUUUCGCCUGUGACGAAGCGUGAGUGACGGUAAUGGGUAAAGAAGCACCGGCUAACUACGUG